ACACUCUGGAGAAUUCAUUCAGUUGAAUGCCGAAGGUGCAAGGCGAGAGCCGAAUCUCUCAGGCAAACAGACAGAGCAG
rnacentral:ncRNA from 1 species